UCAUCACUCAAAAACGAGACACUACCAGAAAACUUUCAGAAAGUUACAAAGAGGUGUUGCAGAGACUUUUUCUCUCACUAUCUUUCUUUCUCUAACUACAGAAAAUCAUCCCUCUUGCUCACAGAAUGUGAUUCCCCACACACUCACGUUUCACUCUUGCUUGCUCUCUCAAGUUAUCAGCUUCGAGUCCUAUUUAUAGACAAAGGACUGUAGAGAUAUACAAGAAAAUGUAUGUAAGGUUCAGUUAAAACUAAAAACAGAAAAUCUGUUAGAAUCUAAGAGGCUCCAACUGAUUUUCUAACUCAUUAAACUGAUUUCUAACUAAAGAGUUUAACCAACCGAAUCAAGAGUUAAACAAUUUCUUUACACAAAGAAACUAAAAGCUUAGAAUCGCUGGCUACUCUCUCUCAACCUUUUUCUUUGAUAAUGCUCAGAGGGAGUUCUACUGUACCAAUUACUCUGCUUCACAUUUUCCGAUUAUAAUAUCUGAAGAAGCUAAAAUAGUUCAAUCACAAGUAUAACUUUCAGUUCCACGUAAGUUUUAUGGCGAACGUUUUGAUGCCGGCAAUGUAUAAGCUGUGGUUUCUUGUUUUCCUAUUUUCAGUUGUUCAGCUAAGCUACUUGGUGGCUUUAGUUGUUGCUCGAGGAUCUUGGAACAUCACCAGUAAAUGGCAAACACUUAAGGUAAAAAAAUGCCAGGCUGGAGUAAGUAGAGAGUUUUAACAAUUUGGGUGAUUUAUGUUGAUUUUCAAUGAUUUCUCUCAAAGUUUACAAGCAUAAGAAGUAUGGCUUAAAAUUCUAUUUAUUUUGCCAUCUUGUUAUGAAUCAAAUGCGUUCUCAUAUGCUUCUCAACUGCUUGAUGAAAUGUCUACACAAGAUGUUGUACCAUUGACAACUUUGAUAUGCAACUUCGCCAAACAAAACCAGCAUAAAGAAGCAAUAACUUUGUUCUCAACAAUGCUUCAUUUGAAUAUCCAACCGAAUGAGUACACUUUUGGUACUGUAACUCGUUCCAGUAUUCUUUUAAAAGAUCUCUACUUAGGCCAGCAGGUUCACUCUUUCGCGAAAAAAAUUGGUCUUAAUUUUGAUAUCUUUGUGGGUAGUGCAAUGUUAGAUCUCUACGUAUUGUUAAACAAUAUUAGGGAUGCUGAAAGGGUGUUUGACGAUUCGUAUGAACCAAAUGUGGUUUCGACACAACUUUGAUUGUGGUUAUAUUAAAGAAGGGCGAUUAAAUGAAGAUAUUCGGAUCUUUUGGUCAAUGCCAGAGAGAAAUGUUGUUUCUUGGAAUAAUAUGAUCAGUGGUUGUAGCCAAAUAAGGAGUGGGAAAUAUUAUUUUAAUAACAUGCCUAGAAGAGUGCAAUCGCUGCCAGGUAGUAGUGGUAGUGCUGGUAGGAGACUUUUAAAAAGAUUGAAAAAUUGUGCAAUCACUGGUACUGUAGAUAUGGGGAUAAUUGUAAAUACUUGCAUCAACGGUCCACUGGGGAUUGCUUUCCACUUUUGACUCCACUUGAAGGCCAUCAGCAGAUCUAUUUCGGGCUCGUCUCCCAAAUACAAGAUAGCUAUUGCUAUGAUGACAGCCGACUCCUUGCUACUUGUAGCAUUUGAAUCAAAAAGUAGCCUACUCAAGUGAUAGCUAGGGCCUCGAGGUACCCAAGUUAAAGGUUGGCGGAGGUGAAGAUUGCUUUCCUCAUAAUGGUCAACGGAACUUCAAUAACAAGGCUUUUGUAUUUGAGUGUCUUUAGAGUUGAAAAUUUGCAUCAUCUCACAAUGAAAAAGUUUGUGUUCGUCCUUCAAUUUAGGUUCAAGAGGCAAUUUAUCAUGCUGGUUCUCUUGUGGAAUUUAAAUUGGGUUUACCAACUUGAGAAGAAUGCCUAGAGGUUGCAAUUGAAAAAAUUGGAUUGCUAGAACAUCAUGUACAAAUAUUGCAGUUAUAGUCAAUAAUCAUUGUUCAAAGGCAGCUACUUUAGAAGGAUUCAAAGUUGAUAAGAUAGUGCACAAAUGGAAUGAGAUGAAUGAUGCAUCAGGUAGCAAACUCGUGUGCGUCUUUUUUGCCUAGAACCAUUGAUCAGUAACUGAUAGAAGGCUACCAUUGGAGCUGAUUUCUUGAUAAAGGAGGUGCAGUUCGAAGAUAGAUUCUUUAAUUUACAAGUUCGAGUAAACUCAUUUGUUUUGGUCUAGAAAUAUCAUUUGUGAAUAACAUUUUAUGAUUGUUGAUUGUCUGCUAACUGUUGCGUAUUGGAUUCGUAUAGGAGUUUCAGUUUUAACCUUUUAAAAAAAAAAUUAUUUAGUUUCUAUUCGUAAUUGAAGCCACUUCACGGUAAUUCAAAAGUUUCAUUGUAAUGUUA